rnacentral:rRNA from 1 species
GACGGGGACCCGCACAAGCAGCGGAGCAUGUGGUUUAAUUCGAAGCAACGCGAAGAACCUUACCAGAUCUUGACAUCCAAUUGACCAUUCUUUUAAUCGAGAUUUUGCCUUCGGGUACAAUUGAGACAGGUGGUGCAUGGUUGUCGUCAGCUCGUGCCGUGAGAUGUUGGGUUAAGUCCCGCAACGAGCGCAACCUUGUGUUUAGUUGCAAACAGGUCAAGCUGUGCACUCUAGACAGACUGCCGUGGACAACACGGAGGAAGGUGGGGAUGACGUCAAAUCAUCAUGCCCCUUAUGAUCUGGGCUACACACGUGCUACAAUGGCCGGUACAACGGGCAGCGAAGGAGCGAUCCGGAGCGAAUCCUAAAAAGCCGGUCCCAGUUCGGAUUGCAGGCUGAAACUCGCCUACAUGAAGUUGGAGUUGCUAGUAAUCGCGAAUCAGAAUGUCGCGGUGAAUGCGUUCCCGGGUCUU